rnacentral:rRNA from 1 species
GGUUAAGCGACUAAGCGUACACGGUGGAUGCCCUGGCAGUCAGAGGCGAUGAAGGACGUGCUAAUCUGCGAUAAGCGUCGGUGAGGUGAUAUGAACCGUUAUAACCGGCGAUUUCCGAAUGGGGAAACCC